rnacentral:rRNA from 1 species
CCUACGGGGGGCUGCAGUGGGGAAUAUUGCACAAUGGGCGCAAGCCUGAUGCAGCCAUGCCGCGUGUGUGAAGAAGGCCUUCGGGUUGUAAAGCACUUUCAGCGGGGAGGAAGGCGGUGAGGUUAAUAACCUCAUCGAUUGACGUUACCCGCAGAAGAAGCACCGGCUAACUCCGUGCCAGCAGCCGCGGUAAUACGGAGGGUGCAAGCGUUAAUCGGAAUUACUUGGCGUAAAGCGCACGCAGGCGGUCUGUCAAGUCGGAUGUGAAAUCCCCGGGCUCAACCUGGGAACUGCAUUCGAAACUGGCAGGCUAGAGUCUUGUAGAGGGGGGUAGAAUUCCAGGUGUAGCGGUGAAAUGCGUAGAGAUCUGGAGGAAUACCGGUGGCGAAGGCGGCCCCCUGGACAAAGACUGACGCUCAGGUGCGAAAGCGUGGGGAGCAAACAGGAUUAGAUACCCGAGUAGUC